AGCGAACGCUGGCGGCAGGCCUAAUACAUGCAAGUCGAGCGGUCCCUUCGGGGGCAGCGGCGGACGGGUGAGUAACGCGUGGGAACGUGCCCUUUGGUACGGAACAACUGAGGGAAACUUCAGCUAAUACCGUAUGUGCCCUUCGGGGGAAAGAUUUAUCGCCAUUGGAGCGGCCCGCGUUGGAUUAGGUAGUUGGUGAGGUAAAGGCUCACCAAGCCUACGAUCCAUAGCUGGUCUGAGAGGAUGAUCAGCCACACUGGGACUGAGACACGGCCCAGACUCCUACGGGAGGCAGCAGUGGGGAAUUUUGGACAAUGGGGGAAACCCUGAUCCAGCAAUGCCGCGUGUGUGACGAAGGCCUUAGGGUUGUAAAGCACUUUCGGCUGUGAAGAUAAUGACAGUAGCAGAAGAAGAAGCUCCGGCUAAAUUCGUGCCAGCAGCCGCGGUAAGCAUACUCGUA
rnacentral:rRNA from 1 species